GAAAUGCGAUAAGUAAUGUGAAUUGCAGAAUUCAGUGAAUCAUCGAAUCUUUGAACGCACCUUGUGCUCCUUGGCAUUCCUUGGAGCAUGCCUGUUUGAGUAUCAUGAAAUCUUCAAAGUAAAUCUUUUGUUAACUCAAUUGGUUUCUACUUUGGUAUUGGAGGUCUUUGCAGCUUCACACCUGCUCCUCUUUGUUCAUUAGCUGGAUCUCAGUGUUAUGCUUGGUUCCACUCGGCGUGAUAAGUUAUCUAUCGCUGAGGACACUGUAAAAGGUGGCCAAGGUAAAUGCAGAUGAACCGCUUCUAAUAGUCCAUUGACUUGGACAAUACUUUUAUGAUCUGAUCUCAAAUCAGGUAGGACUACCCGCUGAACUUAAGC
rnacentral:misc_RNA from 1 species